rnacentral:misc_RNA from 1 species
UGUUACAUUAUCGUUUCUUUUUUGUUGUUUUGUAACCGGUGGUAUUGGAUGGUUUUGCGAGUUCGGAUUUACGUUGUAUUGGUUUAAUCUGUUGAUAUUAAAGGAAUGGCGAUUCAUUACACUUAAUUGGGUGUUGGGUGUGAUUUAGGGGGGGGAGUCUCAGUUCGGUUUAAGUAAUUAACCCAUUAUUUUCAGAAUUGGUAAUGUUAAGCGAUGGCUUUUUAGUCUUAGCUGCUUUGUUGCAACGCUCAAAUAAUAUUCAAUUAUGUGAUUUUCGAUUUUUUCAACGGUUCGUUUCAUCGCUUCUAUUCGAUCAUUUUCUAUUGGCUAGGGUGAGCGGAUUUGGGGGCGAGAGUCCUGUUAUACAAAUUUGAUGCAUAAAGGGGUUAUCGUGAUUGCUAAAGGAGAAGAUAAAGAUUAUGUUCGCGCU